AGGAGCUUGAUUCCAUUCCUGUGACUUCAGAUAUAGUGCCAUCUUCAAACAAGCAAAAUAAGAUAAUAUGCCCGAUAUGUAACAAAUACUACCCAAUCCAUAACAUUGAGUUCCACGCUAGUAUCUGUGGAGAAAGUUAUAGUCCUGUAAGGAUCCCAGAUGAUGGACCUGA